AGCUGGGAGUUAGUUAGUUAGUUAGUCAACUAGUUAGUUAGUUAACUAACUUAACUAGUUAGUUGGUGGUUGUGAUGACAGCAAGGGCUUCCGGGAAGGAGCGAAGGGCAGGCAGGGCAGGGGCAAGGAAGGAGGGGCGGCAGUCGCGCAUCUAGAAGAUUGCCUAAUCAAUCACGCUAGGGCCAGCGAUCUCAUCUCCCUUCGUCCUUCCUUCCCUGCCUCUUCCAGAGUAGUGCUGCUCUCUCUACACCGUCUCUUCUUUCUUCUCCGUAUUUGCAAGUCUCUCUCUUUUGGACGUCUAGAUUCCGCCAUGCGAGGGUGGACUCAAACAUCCGAGGAAUGCGGCGAACGGGCUUGCUGCCAGACACAGACACCACCGAGUCUUUUCAUCACCAAUAGCACACACACGCACACACAGACAUCGCCACUUUGCUGGCAACAGUCCUGUUCUAUCGACGAAGUUAUGGCCAACACCAUCAUAAUAAUUAUUCGGGCUACUCCAUGGGGCUCCGUACAUCUCACGUCGGCGUGGGGUACAACCACAAACUCUGCACAAACAGGAAAGAUCACCCAGCCUUAGGUACCCUGGAGAGGCUAUUCGUAGUCUCGACUCUCCAACUCUUCACACCUACACAGUGCAGUAGUCGCACGCCCAGUGGAUACUGCCGCACCGGAUGUCUGGCGUACUCCGUAUGGCGACUGCCAGCGCAUGGACUUGGAGCUUGGACAUAGUUACUCCGUACAUCCAUCGUAAGUAUGCAGAGAUGGGAAAUGUAUUGAAGAUAGACAGACUUGAGAGGCUUGAGGAUGGUUGCCACUCUUCCUGAUCCCCCCAACCGUUCUCACAUGGGCUGUUGUAGCAUUGCACCGGUGCAUCCAUCAAACAGCUGAAACGUAUCAAUCAACCUUAGAAAACCUCAGAAAAUUCUGACUCAACCCCCCCAAAAAGCAAGUAACUAUUCUCGUAAAUAAGCUACAUUCCUGAAACGUCGGUCCAUUCGAAGUCCUACCGUAUACAAAGAUAAAGUUCGCUCAGGAAUGUUGUCGUUUCAGCUGCUACGGUACAGUGUACAAGCGUACUGUACUGUACUGCAAGGUAUCCUCAUUGUCUUUUUUUUUUCCCUUGCACCCGGUCCGUCACCCGAUUACAGUUUCGAGGAUGGGAAGGUAUACCGCCAC
rnacentral:lncRNA from 1 species